UGGGGAAUCAUGGUCAAUGGGCGAAAGCCUGAACCUGCGACGCCGCGUGAGUGAUGAAGGUCGUAAGAUCGUAAAACUCUUUUCAGGGAUCUUAAAGCCUGUCUGUCAACAACAGGCAGGUCUGACUCUCCCUGGAAGAAGCCCCAGCCAACUACGUGCCAGCAGCAGCGGUACUACGUAGGGGGCGAGCGUUAUUCGGAAUUACUGGGUGUAAAGGGUAUGUAGGCGGCCCUUCAAGUCGCGUGUAAAAGUCCAGUGCUCAACGCUGGGUGUGCACGCGAUACUGACGGGCGUGAGGGCUGGAGAGGUGAGCGGAAUUCCCGGUGUAGUGGUAAAAUACGUAGAGAUCGGGAGGAACACCAGCGGCGCAGGCGGCUCACUAGACAGUUUCUGACGCUAAGAUACGAAAGCGUGGGGAGCAAACA
rnacentral:rRNA from 1 species